UACGUAGGGGGCUAGCGUUGUCCGGAUUUAUUGGGCGUAAAGAGCUCGUAGGUGGUUCGGUAAGUCGGAUGUGAAAUCUCCAGGCUCAACCUGGAGGGGUCAUUCGAUACUGCCGUGACUAGAGUUCGGUAGAGGAGUGUGGAAUUCCUGGUGGAGCGGUGAAAUGCGCAGAUAUCAGGAGGAACACCAAUUGCGAAGGCAGCUCGCUGGGACGUUACUGACGCUGAGACGCGAAAGCGUGGGUAGCAAACAGG
rnacentral:rRNA from 1 species